rnacentral:rRNA from 1 species
UCCGGUUGAUCCUGCCGGACCUGACUGCUAUCGGAUUGAUACUAAGCCAUGCGAGUCAUUGUAGCAAUACAAGGCAGACGGCUCAGUAACGCGUAGUCAACCUACCCUAUGGACGGGGAUAACCUCGGGAAACUGAGAAUAAUACCCGAUAGAACAUUAUGCCUGGAAUGGCUUAUGUUUCAAAUAAUUUAUUGCCGUAGGAUGGGACUGCGGCCUAUCAGUUUGUUGGUGAGGUAAUGGCCCACCAAGACUAUUACAGGUACGGGCUCUGAGAGGAGUAGCCCGGAGAUGGGUACUGAGACACGGACCCAGGCCCUAUGGGGCGCAGCAGGCGAGAAAACUUUGCAAUGUGCGAAAGCACGACAAGGUUAAUCCGAGUGAUUUCUGCUAAAGGAAUCUUUUGUCAGUCCUAGAAACACUGUUGAAUAAGGGGUGGGCAAGUUCUGGUGUCAGCCGCCGCGGUAAAACCAGCACCUCAAGUGGUCAGGAUGAUUAUUGGGCCUAAAGCAUCCGUAGCCGGCUCUGUAAGUUUUCGGUUAAAUCUGUACGCUCAACGUACAGGCUGCUGGGAAUACUGCAGAACUAGGGAGUGGGAGAGAUAGACGGUACUCGGGAGGAAGUGGUAAAAUGCUUUGAUCUCUCGAUGACCACCUGUGGCGACGGCGGUCUAUCAGAACACGUCCGACGUGAGGCAUGAAGAGCUGGGGGAUCAACCGGAUUAGCAUACCCAGAGUUAGUCCCCUGCUUGUAGACUAUUGUCAACUGCAUUGCUGCAGUUGACUCUUUUGGCUCGAUGCAGCGUUAGCAGGGUAGUCAGUUUAAGCUUUGCCGCCUGGGAAGAACGUACUGCACGUAUGAGAACUUUAGACGGAUCUGGACGGGGGGGAGCAUCUACAGGGGGGUCAGCUUGCAGAUCCAUUGGAAUCAACGC